rnacentral:lncRNA from 1 species
CCAAAGCUUCUAUUUCUUGACGAGCCAACAAGCGGACUUGAUAGUGCUGCUUCAUACUAUGUAAUGAGCAGGAUUGCUAAGCUUGAUCAAAGAGAUCAUGGAGUGGGAUCAAGAACAAUAAUAACAUCAAUCCAUCAACCUAGCAGCGAAGUUUUUCAGCUUUUUCACAACCUUUGCCUUCUUUCUUCCGGUCAAACUGUCUAUUUUGGUCCAGCUUCUGCGGCAAAUGAGGCAAGUUCAUUUCCCUAAAAUGUUCAGAACCCAUCAAAACCUCGGUGCUGCCAAAAAGAAAAAAAGAAAUAAAUAACUUUCACCUUUUUAAUCUUUAACUACUAUACCCAUAGAAAUUUUGAUUAAUCCAUAGUAAAAUGAAAAGUGGAUCAAUUUUUUUAACCAACAUAAGGUUUUGAUAGUUUUUGAAACAUGAUUAGAGAAAUGAUUGGCUUAAUUACUAACAUCAUUUUCCCAAAUAAAAAUUUAACUAACGUGCUUGUUUGCUUUCAAUUACAUGCAGUUUUUUGCUUUGAAUGGCUUCCCUUGCCCAACCCUCCAGAAUCCAUCUGAUCACUUUCUUAAAACUAUAAACAAAGAUUUCCAGGAGGUAAGAUUUUUUUCUUUAUUGUAUACUUGCUUGCAUGCUUUUAGUGAUGAAAUGACGGCGUAUUGAGCGUACGAAAAUAGUAUUAUUGUAUACUUGCUUGCAUGCUUGAAUUAUUGAAUUCAACACAAACCUUACAAAAAGAAAUAAAGUUAAUAAAAGAUCUUAUAGGUUUUUGUUAUCAACAGGAUAUCGAAAAAGGUUUAGCUGGAGUAGUACCGACCCAGGAAGCAAUUGAUAUUCUUACAAAAUCUUAUAAAUCCUCUGACAGCUAUCUGCAAGUGCGAAGCCAGGUGGCUGAAAUAUGCAAGGCACAGGUGAGCAGACAAACAAAAUUAUUCGAUUACUUUCACACCUUAUGACUUAUGAGGACUUAAAAAAAAAAAAAGAAGUAAUAGUGUGAGCACCACCAAACAAAGAGGCUGAAACCCACGCCACCGUGCCCCUGGGGCUACAUUGCUUAUGACCAUCUUAAUGAAAAAAAAAACUACAUAAAUAAAGAUUGACAUGAUCACAUCAAUUCACAUGCGUUACAGGAUUCUGGAGCUCUGGAGAAAAAGAGUACCCAUGCUGACUUUCUCACUCAAUGCAUAGUUCUCACAAGCAGAUCUUUUGUGAACAUGUAUCGUGAUCUAGGUUACUACUGGUUUCGCCUAGGUGUUUAUGUCUUACUGGGAGUAGGUCUUGCCACUGUAUUUAGCAAUCUUGGGACUGACAAUAAUUCAAUUCAGGUGAGAAUAAAAUCUAUUUUUAUUAAUCACUGUGAAUUACCAGAGAUUCAUUAUUUUGUUCUGUUUAAUUAAUUAAUUUCAGGCAAGAGGUUCGCUGCUCAUGUUUGUAGCUUCAUUUCUAACCUUCAUGACCAUUGGUGGAUUCCCUUCUUUUGUUGAGGACAUGAAGGUACGUAAGCAUACCCAUACUAGAAUUUUGUAUAUCAUUUUUUGUUAAAAGCACUUAAUUUUUCUCUUACUUUUCAUCUGACACUAAAUUUGCGUGUGUGUGUAUGUAUAUGUGUGUGUGUGUGUUUGUGUGUGUGUAUAAAGGUAUUUGAGCGAGAGAGACUAAACGGGCACUAUGGUGCUACUGCGUUUGUGUUUGGCAACACGUUUUCUGCGCUGCCAUACUUAGCUCUCAUUUCAUUGAUUCCUGGAGCGAUAGUGUAUGACCUUCCGGGACUUCACAAAGGAUAUCAACACUUCACAUACUUUGUUUUGUUAUUGUUUGCUUGCAUGUUGCUCGUUGAGAGCCUAAUGAUGAUCGUUGCAAGCUUGGUGCCCAACUAUCUGACGGGCAUAAUAACAGGAGCUGGAAUUCAAGGCCUUAUGAUAUUAGGCGGCGGAUUUUUUCGAUUGCCAAAUGAUCUUCCUCAUCCAUUUUGGAAAUACCCAUUAUAUUAUAUUGCUUUCCACAAAUAUGCGUAUCAAGGAAUGUUCAAGAACGAGUUUGAAGGUCUGAAAUUUGACAACAAUCUAGAUGGUGAGCAGGUUUUGAGAGAUAAUUGGCAACUGCAAAUGGGAUAUUCUAAGUGGGUUGAUCUUGCUAUCUUGUUUGGUAUGGUGGUUUUUUAUCGACUUGUAUUCUUGGGAAUCGUCAAGACAGUUGAAAAGAUGAAGCCUGUGGUUAAAGCUUUUAUGUCUGUGCCCAUGAAACGAACAACUCAAAUCAUGGAAAAUCCGUAUACUACACCUCCACAAGAAGACAAAAUACUUUACAAGUGAUCGUGAACAAAAGACUUCGGAUAUUCGUUAGUUCAGCUAGUAAAAUCGCUUGAAGUAGGUGAAAAAACUAUGUUCUCAUGAGUGGAAGAGGAAUGAUGUAAUUAGAAAGAAUAUUUUAGCUUUGAAACAUCCUUUAACUACUUUUAUUUUUGUAUGAUCAAGAUUUGCUUCUUUAUUAUCUUUAGUUUUUAUUUGUUGACUACAAUUAUAAAGUUUCUAUAAGCUUAUAGAUAUGAGAUUAUAAUCCUGCUUGAGAUUGCGGUUGAAAUGUUAUCAGCAACUUGUUUAAUAAGUUUUGACAAAAACGAUAUUUGGUAUAUUUUUUAAAAGUUUUUUAUUUUAAAAAUUUCUCUAUUUUGACUACAAUUUUUAAAGACAAGUAGAGGGUUACUUUUUAUAAACAAUUUAUUAAAUAAGCCAUCACACAUUUUUAAAGUUCGUCUUAUAAUCUUAAUCUUUUAACAAAAUGGUAAUUAUAUCUUAUUUUUCAUAAAACCUGAUAUACAAAUAAAAGACUAUUUAAAGCUAUGUCUAUUUUGGUUAUUAUACAAUAAAUAUGUAUUUUUGUAAUAAAAUUUACCAAACUCAUCUAUAUACUCUAUUUUUCAAACUCACACAAAUUGCAACAACAUAAUUUAUCAAAUACUAAGUUGGUUUUUUAAUCAGCAACUGACAUCAUGUACACAGUAGAAGCAACCAAUUUCAUCAGCUAUUGCAAUCCUAAACUAGACCUUUAUCAGUAAGAAAGAGAAAUGAUAUAGAGUUCGAAUGAUGACUAAAAGGCAAUGGAAAUGGCUAACAUAAGGUGCCAUUUUUGUCUUACUUUCUUUUGAUUUUUUUUAUCAUUAAAAAAAUGUUAAUUAUGUACGUAUGUAUAUGUAAAAAAGAUGGUGUUGAAACAUUAAAAAUAGAUUAAUAGAAGAAACAAAGUUUCUGAAUAACAAUAGUUUUAUUAGCAAAGUCUGAAUGAACGAAACUAUGGUCUUGGGUCCCUUUAUAUAAUAAAUCUAAGUAUUGCAAAUUUAUCAAAAUAUGCAAAUUUAAAAUAUUACUUUAUAAUAAAUUUGUCCUAUUAUAAAUAAGGAAAUUAAAACAAAUAGAAUCCAAACUCGAUAUCUAAAAAAAAGAUAAAAAUUUUGAAAAUAAAAAGAAUAAUAGGAAAAUAUCUUAGAAGUGAAAAACGAUUAGAAAAGAAGCGGAAUUUUUGGCUUGACCAUGUGUCAUGCACUGCUUGUGCAAAGAGAAACAUGUGGCUUAUUGAGUAGAAAACAACCAGCUGCUUGCUUCGUAAUUUGACAUGCUUGCUUCAGCUGCAUGCUUUUUCACCUACUUGCUUGGAUUAGGUGGGCCGAUGGCUAUAUAUGUGAAGAAUAUUGUGAGUUGCUUCAUUCUAUCAAAUUAGAAAUUGAGAGCAAAAACAAAUAGAAGAAAAGAAACGAAAAGAAGAAAAGAAAGAAGCCAAGAGUGGGGAAAAGAGAAAAAGAAAGGAAAAGGAGAAAAAGAAAAUUAAGAAGUUGAGAGUGAAAAAGAAUUUGGAAAGGUGGAAUUGAGGGAAAUAUUACUGGAAAUAGAAUUAGACAGUUAGAUUUAUAUUAAGUGAGUCAGUGGAUAAUAAAUUUAUAAAAUUUAAGUAGACAUAAUUUAAUUUGCAUAAUAUGUAUAAGUUUUUAUAUCAGUUCUAACAGUUAAUUUUCGAAUCUUGUAUUUUAGGAAAAAUCCAAAAGUCGAGGAACCUACAAGAGCCCCAACGAACCCCGGAAUGAAACAAGAUCUGUGAGUGAAUACUAUUAUUGUUAUAAUGUAUCUGUGAAGCAUUUAUGUUUGAUAGUAUGAUUUAAUAUCAUGUUAUGAUUACAUGUAUGUAUAUUAUAUAUUUGAUUGAGUCAUGAGAUGUGAUUGUCAGUCACUAUAUGUGUACCCUUCCCUAUAGACUCUACGCAUGCGUAUUGAGAGUUAGGUUACUUUACCUGUGCAUUGUAGUUAAAUGUUGCCGGGUAUUGAGAGGUUUUUCCUCUACUCUACUCAUGUGAUGAUGAUCUCGGCAAGUAUUCAGAGUUAUUUCCCCUGGGUACUAUUUGGUACAGUUUUUUUCAUGUAUGUAUGAUUUCCAUGUUUGCUAAUGCAUUACAUUUAGUGCCGAGUUAUGUCACAUGAUUAUGUAUAUACGCUCGUAAGCUACUUUAUAUGUGUGUGUGUGUUCCAGUCCAAAACUUUAAAGUGUGAGAACAUCCGUGAAAAUGCAUAAACCGUGCGGUUUAAGCGCUUUAAGUUUUAAGCAUUUAAAACCCCAUGGUUUUAAAAUUUUUCGGGACGUUUUCCAUACUUUAUAAUCAUGGAUAUAUAAAAAUUAUAUCCAUUUAUUGAGCCACAAGCUCAUUACUUUUGUAUUAAUCCAUUCUCUUCUAUGAUUCCUCAAGAUUUCAUGUAGAUAAGUUCUAGUCAAUUGAGGUUGGGCCAUGAGAUGUAUUGCUACAUGACUUUGAGCACGUUUAUGUUGCUUAUGUUCUUAUAUAUAUAUUUGUAGUGUAAGUACGUAUAAUGAAACAUGAUUGUGCAAGUUUUGAAUAUAUAUUUUUGGAUGAGGCACAUAGGUUGUUAUGUGUUUAUAAUAGAGGUCGUUUUUAUAUAUUCAUAAAUUAAGUUAGUGCCACGAGUUUUAAUUAUUAGACCGCAUGAUUCGCCUCAGAUCCAACACACGGGAUACAGCAGGUCGUGUCCCCACGAGGCAAAACAGCUCAAAUGGCUCUGGAUUUGUUUCGUCUCAUCGCAAGCUUUGAAACAUGCGCUAAAAAUGGACACCUGUAGCACAAGUUAUGAUUUUAGGAAGGUACCAUGUUCUUUCCAUGCAACCAUCCUGCAUUAAAAACUUUUCCUAUGAGGGUUUGCUGUUGCACUAUAUAGUAGGGGUAAUAGUAUAAUGUUACACUAUUGCACUAUAGUGUGUGUGUGUGUGUGUGUGUGUGUGUGAUUAGUAUUAAAAAUUGUUUGAUUAUCAAGUGAUAAAAAUAUUAUUUUGUGGUUAUAUUAUAAUUUAUAUUUGUGUUUAUGCAAUAUAUUAGGAAUUAUUAAUUUUGUCUUAACUAUAUUUAAUUUUGUGUAUUUUUGUGUGUUUAUUAGGUAAAAUAUUAAAUUCGUGUAAUUCGAGGCUCCAAACAGAUAAAUGGAUGGUAAAUUUAGAUUUUGGAGGUCUGAAAACCUUAAGAUGAGUCAAAACCGACUUAAAAUUGAGCUUGCGCAAAAGAGUUGACUUUUUGUUGACCGAGCACUGAUUGGAUGAUAAAAUGAACUUACAAUAGAUAUGAGUGCAUUGGAUAGCUGGUAAUUUUGACUAAAUCUCAAUCGUUCAUAAUUCAAUGGCCAAGAUUGUGCCACAUAACAAUGGUUGGUGAAGCAAGUUGUAGGAUUUGAAUCUUUGUAUUCGGGUCGACCCGAUCCGCCCAUUAACCCGCCAAAUCUCAACCAUUCUUUGGUCGAAUCGGACGCGUCAAAUGAUGCCACGUGUAAUGUUGACUUUUGAAGUUUGACCAGCCGUUGGAUCAUGAUCUAAUGGCUGUAAGGAGCGCAUGCAUAAAGCUUAUGAUGGGCCGCAAAACACUAGAUUAUGAAUUUAUUUUUCUAUAAAUAGAGCCUCAUUUUUAUGUUUUUGAUCAUCUCUCUACAUUUUUCUUCUUCUCAAUUUCUCUCAAUCUCCCUAUAAUCUUGUUUUCCAGGUGUGUUUUUAAUAUUUUAAAUAAUAAUUUUAUAAAUAAAUUUAGUUUUGUUUUCAAUUUUAGUUGUUUUUAUUACUUUUAAUAAUUUUUUUUAUUUCGAUUAUGCUUAACUAAAUAACAAUAGUUAGGGUAAGGUGAAACUCUUAGAAAAUAAAUAUGAUUUAAUCAAAUGCUAUUUUUAAUUUUAUGAAUUAAAUUAUUUUCUAUUUAAUUUUAUACAUAUUUUAUAUUUUAAAAUUUUGAUUAUAGACAAAUAAGGGAGUUUGGCACAAUAAAUUCUAAAUAUCUUAAUAUAAGGUAUGGUAAAAUGGUAUUUUGACUUAUUGUAGACAAAUUAAAUUUUGGCACAAUAAAUAUUUAAUCCAUAAUAAAAUUAAUGGGAAAAUAAUAAUAAUUUAUAUAAUCAAUCUUUUGGGCAAUAAAUCUAAAAAAAAUGGCAAAAACAAUUUAUUAAAUUUUAUUUACUACUAAGAGUGGAUCCAUAACCCUAACUAAUUCAAUUUCAUAGUUUUACUUAAAUUAAGUUGCAUAAAUUCAAGUUUUAUUUUCAUUUUUCGAUCAAAUAAAAUAAACAAAUUAAAUCUUUUCUUUGUAAAUCGAUCUCGGACUCACUGAACUAUAAUAUAACAAGACACUCUUAUACUUAAGAGUUAGAACCUAUUUUUAAGUUUUGUCAAGUUUUUGGCGCCGUUGCCAGGGAAAAGUUUUCAUUUUGUUUUAUUUUUCUCUUUCUGUAAAUUUUUAUUUAUGCCCUUUUCCUUUUCUUAAAUUUUGUUUUGUCCACAAUAUCUUUCAGAAUCUUCACUUUCAUCCCACAUAGUUCUGUUCCAAACUUCUUAAAAUUGUUGUGUGACCAUAAAAUUUUAAAGAAUUAUGAAAAGAUCUCUGGACGAAAUUUCUCAUAAUAAUCAGACUUGAACUUACAUCUUGGACUUAUUUUGAGUUAUGGACAUAAUUUGGACCAAGCAAACGAACUAUUGACUCGUCAUUUUUUUUUAGUUACUUAAUUUUCAUAUUUAUUUUAAUUUAUUUUAUUUUACGAUUGGUUUGAGCCCCCUAUUGUUAUUUAAUUUUCAAUUAUUUUAUUAUUUCACAUGUUUUUGUUUUAUUUUAUUUUCUUAAUUUUUAUGGUGGGUUCAACCACCAAAAUUGUUAUUUAAUUUUAAUUUUAAUUUUUCAAUGUUUUAAUUUUUUGUACACUUAUAUUAUUUGCAUAUUUAAUUAUUAUUUUUUUGUGUAAUUUUCAUUUAAUUCUUUUGUUACUAAUUUGUUUGAAUAUUACCUUUGUGAUAUAAUUAUUGCAUGAGACGUUACUCUCGAACUUCAAGUGGCAGGUUAAUUCGUAGAUCUCAAUCUCCAGCACCAAUCAUCGAUGAGUUCCAAGAUGAAAACUUUUUGGGCGACCCUAAUCCUUAGAUUGAUCAGGGAGACAACCAUUAUCAACAUAAUGCAUGUGAUCAAAAUCAACCAAGAACUCUGAGAGACUAUAUGAAUCCAACGAGAGCCGGAGCACAGUCAUGUAUAGUAUUUCCUCCAGAAGCAUCUCGAUUCAAAUUCAAACUAGGUAUUAUUCAACUUUUAUCAAUAUUUUAUGAUUUAGAAUAUGAGAAUCUACACUUACACCUAAGAGAUUUUGAGGAAGUUUGUAAUACAUACACAGACCAAAAUUAUAGAAUGAACAUAAUUAGAUUAAAGUUUUUUCUUUUUUCAUUAAAAGAUAAAGUUAAAACUUGACUACAAAAUCUUAUAUCUGGAUCAAUAAGAACUUGGAAUAAUAUGCAAGAACAAUUUUUUUAAAAAAAAUCUUUCCACCUUAUAGAACCAAUUCUUUUAAAAGGCAAAUCACUUCUUUCACUAAAAAAAAAUGGAGAAAAAUUAUACUAAUAUUGAGAUAGGUUUAAAGAAUUGCUUAACAUAUGCCCACACCAUAGUUUUGUAACUUGGCGAUUGGUCACUUAUUUCUAUGAGGGCUUAACACCCCAAAGUAGACAAGUUGUUGAAAUGAUGUGUAAUGGUGAAUUUAAGGAUAAAAAUCCUGAAGAUGCACUAAAUUACCUUGACUAAUUAACUGAAAAUGCGAAACAUUGGGACACUGUUGAAACUUUUGAAUUGACAAAUAAACCACAACCAUCUCCAUCUAAUGGAGGAAUCCAUAAUCUUCGGAAAGAUCGUGAUUUAUAAGCAAAAUUUGCAUCCCUAGUUAGAAAAGUUGAAGCUUUGGAGUAUAAAAAAAGUGAUCAAGUAAAAUUUGUUCAAGAAAUUGUAUGCAAUAUUUGUAGUUCUAAUGAUCAUUUCACUCAAGAUUAUCCCACUCUACUUGCACUUAAAGAAUGUCUACAUGAUCAAGCUAAUGCCAUUAACACUUUUAAUAAGCCAAACCAUAUUCACAGACUUAUAAUUCUGGUUGGAUAAAUCAUCCAAAUUUCAGUUAGAGGAAUGAUAAUAAUGCACAAUCUUCAAAAGCACCACCUCCACAAACUUUUCAAAAUGUUCAGCCUUAUGCACCAUAUAUUCCACCGCCAUGGAAAAAUCUGGAAGACACAAUGCAUUCAUUCAUCAGAAAGGAAAAUGUUAUUAACAAUCAAAAUGUACAAACUUUUUCUGAUUUGAAAGAUACUCUUGCUAAAAUUGCUUUUGCACUCAUAAUUCAAGAAAAAAGAAAAUUUCCAGCCCAACCACAACCAAAUCCUAAAAUUCAAUAAAAUCCACCCAUGGACCAAGUCAAGUCAAUUAUAACUCUUAGUAGUAGUAAGGUUGUUGAUAAACCUAUGCCUGAACCUUGUGAAAAUGAUGAAAAUUCAAAGGGUAAGGAAAAACUAAAUGAACUUACACCUAGUGAAGAAAUAACUAGUGUUCCACCUGAACCACCAUUUUCGCAUGCAUUGAAUAAUCCAAGGAAAUCAAACCACUCUUUCUGAAAUUUAUGAAAUUUUUAAGCAAGUGAAAGUUAGCAUUCUUAUAUUAGAUGCAAUCAAGCAGGUACAUUCAUACGCCAAAUUUUUAAAGGAUUUGUGCACUGUCAAGAGGAAAUUGAAGGUAAGAAAGAGUGCUUUCAUGGCCGAACAGGUAAGAACAAUUAUCUCUACUAAUAAUAAGUUGAAAUAUAAAGAUCUUGGUUGUCCUACCAUUUCUUGUAUUAUUAGUGAUCACAUAAUUGAGCAUGCUUUACUAGAUCUUGGUGCUAGUGUUAAUUUGCUUCCACAUUCAGUUUAUCUUCAACUUAAUCUCGGUGAGUUAAAAUCAACUUCAACUACACUUUUGCUUGCCGAUAGAUCAGUUAAAGUACCAAAAGGAAUAGUGGAAGACGUUUUAGUACAAGUUGAUAAAUUCCUAUACCUUGUGAAUUUUAUUAUCUUAGAAACAGAAUCAGUUGUGAAUGAUUAUAAACCAAUUCCUGUAAUUUUAGGUCGACCCUUUUUUAGCAACUGUUAAUGCUUUAGUUUAAUGAAUUUAUCCUUUGGAAAUAUGACUUUGGAAUUGAAUGUUUUCAACAUGUGCAGGCAACCUAAUAAAGAAAAUGAGAAUGAAGAUGAUACUAAUGAACAAAAGGAAUUGCUUGAAUCUUGUAUAGAGGAAAAUAUUCAAAAAACAGAUUUUACUGAACUCUCUGACAUUUGUUUAAUUAAUUCAAUUGAGUCAAAUAAGCAAUUUGAACUUAAUAUUUCUAAUAUAAAUUCGUUGCUUGAUUCUGUACAGAAUUAUGAUGAAGAGCCAAAAUUUGAAGAGCUUGGAAGUAUUGAAAAGACAGAACAACCAGAAGCACCCAAACUGGAAUUGAAACCUUUGCUUGAAUGAUUGAAAUAUGCUUUUCUUGUAGAAGAACAAACUUAUCCUAUUGUGAUUUCUUCUACUCUAACAAGCGACCAAGAAGGUAAGUUACUAACUGUUAUUAAAAAGCAUAAAAAUGCAAUUGGAUGGACUUUAAAUGAUAUUAAAGGCAUUAAUCCCUUAAUUUGCACGCAUAGAAUUAAUUUAGAAGAAAAUGCUAAAACAGGUCAACAACCUUAAAGAAGAUUAAACUCACACAUGAAAGAGGUAGUUAAAACAGAAGUUCUUAAAUUGCUUGAUGUGGGAAUUAUCUACCCUAUUUUUGAUAGUAAGUGGGUUAGUCCUACACAAGUAGUGCCCAAAAAAUAUGGAAUCACUGUUGUUAAAAAUGAAAAAAAGGUGAAUUAAUUCCAACACGAAUUACAUCUAGUUGGCGCAUGUGCAUUGAUUAUAGAAAGUUAAAUGAAUCCACUAGAAAAGAUCAUUUUUCAUUAGCAUUUCUUGACCAAAUCUUAGAAAGAGUAGUUGGACAUCCCUACUACUACUUUUUAGAUAGAUAUUCGGGUUAUUAUCAAAUUCCUAUAACACUUGAGGACCAAGAAAAGACCACAUUUACAUGCCCUUUUGGAACAUUUUCAUUUAAAAAAAUGUCAUUUGAGCUUUGUAAUGCUCCUGCAAUAUUUUAAAAAUGUAUGCUAAGCAUUUUCUGUGAUAUGGUUGAACAUUAUUUAGAGGUCUUUAUGGAUUAUUUGACUGUGUUUGGGAAUCCUUUUAAUGAUUGCCUUGAUAAUUUGGAGAAAGUCUUAAAAAGAUGUGUUGAAAAAGAACUUAUGUUGAAUUGGAAAAAAUGUCACUACAUGGUUACUUCUGGAAUUGUUUUAGGUCAUGUUGUAUCUGUUAAAGGAAUUGAAGUUGACAAAGUAAAAAUAGAAGUCAUAUCGAAAUUGUCGCAACAAAAAAUAGUUAGAGAUGUGCGAUCCUUUUUAGGACAUGCAGGAUUUAAUAGGAGAUUUAUAAAAAAACUUUAGUGUCAUAUUUAAACCAUUUUGUAACCUCUUCUUAAAAGAUGCACAGUUUGAAUGGACUGAUGAUUGCCAAAAAUCUUUUGAGAAAAUAAUUUGUCUUUUAAUAUCUGCAUCUAUUAUGCAAUCUCCUGAUUGGUCUUUACCUUUUGAAUUAACAUGUGAUGCAAGUGAUUUUGUUGUUGGUGCUGUUUUAGGACAAAUAAGGGAUGGUAAGCCCUUUGGGAUUUAUUACGCGAGUAAGACUUUGGAUAGUGCUCAAAUGAAUUAUUCUAUAACUGAAAAAGAAUUACUUCUUGUGGUAUUUGUAUUAAACAAAUUUCGUUCAUAUUUGCUUGGCUCUAAAUCUGUUGUUUUUACUUACCACGUUACUGUGGGAUAUUUAAUGAGUAAACAGGAUGCCAAACUGAGAUUAAUUCGUUGGAUUUUGUUACUUCAAGAAUUUGACCUUACCAUUAAAGAUAAAAAGGGUGUUGAAAUGUCGUUGCUGAUCAUUUAUUAAGACUCACAUUUGACUUCUGCACUGAUAUAACACCCAUAAAUGAUUCUUUCCCUGAAGAAUUUUUAUUUUCUGUUACUUCAAUCCCAUGGUAUGCUAACAUUGUUAAUUUUCUUGUUAUCGGUAAAAUGCCUUUGCAAUGGAAUGCUCGAGAGAAGAAGAACUUUUUAGUUGAAGUAAAGAAAUUUUAUUGGGAUGAUCCUUACUUGUUCAAAUAUUGCCCAUACCAAAAUUUUCGGCGAAGUAUUCCUGAUAAUGAGGUAAGUGUUAACAUAUAUAUUUCCAUGAUGUUGAUUUUGAUAAUAACAAACAAGAUUAAGAAUGAUUAAUUUUUUAAGCUCAAAUUGUAAGGGGAACUUACAUUUAGGGGGGAGCAAUUUAUGCAAUCAUUAUUUAAAUACAUGAAAAGUUUGUCAUCAUCAAAAAGGGGGAGAUUGUUAACAUUUAUGUAUUCAUAAUGUUGAUUUUGAUGAUAACAAACAAAAUUAAGAAUGAUUAAGUUUUUAAAAGCUCAAAUUGUUUUUAUACAUUUUAAAUAAAUCAUUAUUUUCACAUUUUAAAGGUUUUAUAUUUAAUGGAAAAAUGAUUUUAUGAAAUUAGUUGUUUUUCAAGUUUAUGGUUUAAUUGAAACAGUUUUGAAAACUUUGAAAUUAACAAGUAUUGCUUGAAAUUUUGGAGAAGGAUUUAUUUGAAAAGUAUUCAUACCAUUUUAGGUUAUUUCAUAAUUUCAAAAAGUUUUGGGAAUAGUAAGUAUUAUUUAGAAAUUCUAAAAUUGGACCUAUUUACAAAAUUUAUAACAUUUUGGGCCAUUGUACAGUUAUAUAAAGUUUUGGGGUCAAACUGUUAUUUUACAAAAUAGUUCACUGUAGCAGUUACUAUAGAAAACGGCGAUCCGACAUCUUGAUAACGGCUCAGCGACAUCGAACAGAUUUGAAGAUUAGCCUCUAGACACUAACGGUGAUCCGACAUCUAUAAAACGGCGAUCCGACAAUUUGAAAAUUCAGCCCAACGGUCAUAUUGACCAGUUAUGUAACACCCUAGGCGAAUCCCACAUCGGCAAAGCACGGGAGAGAUGCUGGGUUUAUAAGGGGUGAUCCACACCUUAAUUGGCAAGACGCGUUUUGGGGUGUAUGGGCGCCCCAAGAACAAAUCCGUGCGGGCCUUGUUAAGGCCCAAAGCGGACAAUAUCUUGCCAGGUCUGGGUUGGGUCAUGACAUUAUGGUAUCAGAGCAGCUCCGCAUGUCCUCUUGAGCGAUGGUGGGGCAAACCUCAGCGAGGACGCUGAGUCCCCAAGGGGGGGUGUAUGUAACACCCUAGGCGAAUCCCACAUCGGCAAAGCACGGGAGAGAUGCUGGAUUUAUAAGGGGUGAUCCACACCUUAAUUGGCAAGACGCGUUUUGGGGUGUAUGGGCGCCCCAAGAACAAAUCUGUGCGGGCCUUGUUAAGGCCCAAAACGGACAAUAUCUUGCCAGGUCUGGGUUGGGUCAUGACAUUAUGUAACGCCACAAAUUCUCAUAUAUAUUAAGUUAUAGAAAUUGAGCUUUCAUUGAGAAUUAUGGGUGGCCCAUAACCCUUAUUAAGAGGUUAUUUAUGAGAUAAUUUUGGGAAAAUGGUUAUUUUCCUAAUUAAAUAGGGUUUCUUAAGACUCCCUAUAAAUUCAUACUUUUUCCUUUCCAUAACCCUAAGUUCACAACGUUUAUUCUUCUUCUCUGCUGCUCUUUACGCUCUUACCCAAAUCUUAGGAUUCAAACAUUUGUUUAGGAGAGAAUCAAGCGACGGGUAAGUUGUUCUCCAUGUUCUCAACAGAUUUCUAAUCACUCUAUCUAACUAGGGUUUAUAUUGGCACGAUUCUAAUGGUUGUAGAUCAUGAUGCAUGGUUUAGAAUAUAUUUAGACUUUGCUUAGGGUUUUGAUUUAGUAUGAGUUUAGUUAAUCAAUCCUUGACGUAUUAAGCACAGGAUAAUUCUGGACAGCAUGAGGAUCUCGAAUUUUAAAGCUAUAUUUUCUGAACGAAUUUUCUUAUAAAAUUUAUAUUUCUGGAAACUAGACAUGUCGGGAUUCUUGAUUAAAUUUUAUUUCAUUAAAUUCAACUUCGUUUUCAAUUUUAUAUGUAUUUUGGAAAUAGAAACCACUGCACUGGAAAUCCACGAUUCCAGUAUUGUGAUCAGAUUCACAAGACUAUUUAUACCACCAAAUGAACUCAAAAAAUUCUGAAAGUUUAUAUGUAUGUUAAUAUAUGUGUCUAGGAUUCCCAGUUUUAAUUUCAUAAUUUUCUGAUUAGUAGUUUAUUUUAUAAAAAUCACGGAACCCGUUCUGUUUGGUUUAGAUUAUGUGAAAACAGUUUCGAAUUUGAUGAGAAGUAAAUAGUUUUUAAAAUGUUUUUGAUAUCGGAUUAUCUUGUAAAUUUUACAUGGGGUACUCAUGAAUGUUCAGAAUGGUUCCAUAGGAUUUUAUAUCAUUCUGAGACUUGGAUUAAGAGUUAAAAUUCCGAGAAUCAGACCUGUACGGGUAUGAAUUAGAAAAUCAAAUUCUUAGAAUAAGUUAUUGAUUGUCAUAUCUUGUAUUUGUUUAAGGUUUUGAAGGUGUUUGAGACUCUUAGAAGCUUAGAGGUGUGUUAAUCCAAGUUCAUUUGUCGAGGUAAGUAACUUCAUUCCUAAUGUACUGGAUAUGUAUAAGUAUUUUGAUAUUAUUAUUAUAAGUAUAAAUGUUUUGAUACUACUUAAAGGAUUACUAAUUUUGAUAACAAAAUUAGCUUUAUGUACAUGUUUUCAAACCAUUCUUUUUAACAAAGUAUUUUAUAAAUGCUUUUUAAUAUGUAAAUGAUUUUAUGACAUGACAACCUUUUAUGAUGUUAUCUUUAAAAUGUUAUGCAAGCCUAUAUUAUUGAUAAGAACUUUUAUGAAACUGAUACGAAUGUUUUGUACCUAUGUUUGAUUUCAAUUAUUGAUGAUUGUAUGAGAUUCUUAAUGCUUUGGCUCAUUGUCCAUAGUUAGUCUGAUUCUGAUUCUGAUCGUAAUAUACGAUAUAUCCGUCUGGACCAGUACUGGGUUUCUGUUAUGAAUGUGCACACGAUAUUCUGAUUCUGUUUCUGGCCGGGUCACCGGGACUAUAGGUGACACUAUGUGACAUGAGCUAACCUGUUUGUUUUCUGUAUACGUAUUACAUGAUUUGCUUCGUAAGUAAAUAUGCUUUUGAAUAUUCUGAAUUAUUAAGAAUUUAUCUUAUGUUAUUGUGAUAUAUCGUUUUAUGAAAAUUAUGGAUUAUGAUAUAUGCUUUAAACAAAAGAAGGCUUGCAAUAUUUUUGGUAUCGAUAGGCCUAGUGUGUUAGGAAUGGUUUUACUUACCGAGUUGACGGCUCACCCCUCGUCAUUACUUUUUUGCAGAUUAAGUUUCUUUUGAGAGGUGCACUUAGCUUUGGAGUUAGUGAUUUCCAGUUUCCGUUUGCUAUUGAAUAAGAGGAGGAAUAGACUUGUGUUUCUAUUUAGUUACUUUUAUUAUGAACGUGUAAUUUGGAGUUUGAGACUUUUGUUAUUAUUUUUAUAUGUCCUCGAGAGAGAUUAUUUAGUAUUUGACGUUUGGAUUUAUGGAUUUAUUUGAAUAAGAAUUGGAGGAAUUUCAGUUUGAAACUUAUGAGUAAAGAUUAAUGAUUUGUGAGUAACCUCCUUCUUCACGUGCUCCGCACGUGUUAGAUUUGGGGUGUUACAAUUGUGGUAUCAGAGCGAUUGACCAUCCUUAAGAUUAACAAUUAUGCCGAUUUGAUUUGGGCCUUAACAAGGGGGGUGUAUGUAACACCCUAGGCGAAUCCCACAUCGGCAAAGCACGGGAGAGAUGCUGGGUUUAUAAGGGGUGAUCCACACCUUAAUCUCUCCCGUGCUUUGCUGAUGUGGGAUUCGCCUAGGGUGUUACAUACACCCCCCCUUGGGGACUCAGCGUCCUCGCUGAGGUUUGCCCCACCAUCGCUCAAGAGGACACGCGGAGCUGCUCUGAUACCAUAAUGUCAUGACCCAACCCAGACCUGGCAAAAGGUCAAUAACGGCUAGUUUUCAGCUCCAACUAUCAAUAAGCUCAUUCAAAUCCAAACAUGUACUAUUCCAACAAUUAUCAUUGAGCACAAUAUUGAGAAUACAACUUUCAUUGCGCUUUAAAUCUUUGUAUUCAUCUCAGUCAUUCACACAUUGAGCUUUCAUUAGUGAUCAAACAUAUUGUGUGAGAGAAAUUCAUUUAUAAUCUUUUUUGUAAAAUCAAGUUAAGAGAUUGUAGGUGUUGGGAUACACUUGGGUUAAGAGAUUGGGGAUAAUCUCUUGUUGUGAAGGUUCAUUGACACCUUGGAAGUCAAUUAUAAUCAUUCGAAGCCUUGGAGGCUUGCUUAGUGAAAUCCUCAAGCUCAGGGAGCUUGGAGGCGUGGACGUAGGUAAGGAUUGCCGAACCAUAUAAAAAUCAUUGUGUUUGCUCUCUCUUCCCUUAUCUUUUUAUAUUGUGAUUGAUUUAUUUGUUAUUACUUUAAAUUCGUUUUAGAUUUGCAUUGAGUUUUGCUUUAAAAUUGAAUAAUUUUUAAAAACCCAAUUCACCCCCCUCUUGGGUUGCAUAACUAGAAUUUCAGUAAGUAGUGUCAUUAAUUUUUGUUAUUUUGAAGCAUGUGGUGGACACUUUUCUUCAAGAAAAACUACUGCUAAAAUUUUGCAAUGUGGAUUUUAUUGGCCUACCAUAUUCAAAGACACAUAUGAAUUUUGUAAAACUUGUGAAAAAUGUCAAAAAUUGGGAUCAAUUACUAAAAGAAACAUGAUGCCGUUAAAUUUCAUACUUGAGAUUGAAAUAUUUGACUGUUGGGGAAUUGACAUUAUAUGUCAUGAGUGCCUCAAUAAGAAAGUUCCUGGUCACACAUCUUAAAAGCCUUUUGCGUGUGAAAUCUCACUUGAGAGGCCUGAUACAAAGCGGCAAAUCAAAUCCACUUUGGGAUCUAAAACCACCAAUAUUAGUGUCCUACGUUGAGGACCUAGAAAGACAACUCAGAGCAAUAAAGAGUGGUAUAUAUGAAUUUCAAUUGGAGCUUGAGGUUAACUCAAUAAAAGGACGAAUGUAAGUUCAUUUUUCUCUUUUCUUGUGUCAUUUGUUUUUGUUGUUUUGUUCACUUUCGCAUUUGAUUUGAUUUUGUAGUUUUGAUUCUUUUUAUUUUUGUGUGUUUUGAUUUAUUUUCCCGUAUAAAUGGCGGAUAACGUUACUCUGUCACUUCUUAAGUCAGGAUCUUCAGUUUCCCACAAUAACUGAAACCCCAAAAUCAAACAUGGAAGAAAUAUAACAUAAACUGCAUAAGCAUUUUUCCUUUCUCCUUCAGAAUGCCCUAAGGAAAAUUUAUAAAGCUCGUUGUGAAUGACUGCAUUUGUUAAUGAUCAAAGGCAUUCCUUCUAACAUUCGUUGGUUAAUUGAAGUAAAGGUCCGAUUAGCAGGUGAGUUUUCUGAUCCAUUUGUUUAUUUCAUUCCUGGUUUUGGUAAAAGUACAUUUGCUUAAAAAAGAAGAGCUAAACAACUUGGCUCAAAAUGUCAUAAUUGUGUAAGAUUUCGUUGCAAAUGGAGGAAUUGUAAAUCUUUAGGAAUGGGGUCUGAUAAUCAUGAAGAUAAAAUUAAAUUCGUUAAAGAUGGCCUGAGUAAAGAAUCGUUGGAUGAUAUCUUCGAUCUCUUGAGACGCAUCAAAGUGGAUAUGUGCAAUGUAAGAUUCAUAAUUUGUGGAUACUAUUCUAAAAAUAAAGUGCACAAUUUAGUCUUAGGAAUCUGACUCAAAAGGACCAUGUUUGCCAGUUUAUAAGAAAACUGGAUGGUAAGCAUAUCCUCAACCCAUAGAGGGCGUUCAAGUCGUUACUGGACGUAAAACGAGAGGAAGAUGUGAGCCAUAAUCACAACUACCAGUAAAUAUCCUUUUCUUUUGCUGUUUUUUUUAUCAUUUGCAUUAUUGCAUUUAGUGGUGUGAUUUUGUAUUUAAUAAUUAUUUGUUUUCUUUUACUGUUUGCUUUUUCUAAUCACUAUUUUCUUUUUCUUUUUACUGUUUGCUUUUGAAUUAUUGAGUUAUGAGCUUGAAAUGCAAGUUAUGCAACCUAAGAGGGGGGUAAAUUGGGAUUUUAAAACUUAUACAAAACAAUUCAUACAACAAUUUAAUCUAUUUUCUUAAUCAAAUAAAAAAUAAUAAAUUAAAUAAAGCACAAUAAUAAAAGAGUAAGGGAAGAGAGAGCAAACACAAUAAUUUUUACGUGGUUUGGCAAUCCCCACCUAUGUCCACGCCUCCAAGCCAACCAAGCUCAAGGAUUUUACUAUCCAAGCCUCCCAAGGCUUCAAGUUCUUUACAAUUGACUUCCAAUAUGUUAAUAAACCUUUACAACCAAGAUAUUAUCUCUGAAUCUCUUCACUCAAGUGUUUCUCACACUUAUACACUCACAAAUUUGAUGAGAAAAUAAAGAUUACAACAAAGAAACUCUUUUUAAGAGUGGAUAUACAAAUUAUAGCACAAUGAUAAUUCAAUAUAUGAAGAUUUGUGAAAUGGAAGCUCAAUAUAUGUUAUAUACACUUGUUUAUACUUGCAAAAGUCUUAAAAUUGAUGUUGGAGUUGAGUUUUUAUAGAUAAAACCUGAAAACUAGCCGUUAUAGGCAAAUUCGAGCAAGCAAGCAGUUAGCCGCUUAAUUUAUCUCGCUCCCUGCUUUAGAAUAGUAAAGUUACCGUUAAAUUUGAAUAUUGCUACAGUAAUACUGUUAAUAAAAUUACUAUUUUUCUCAAAACUUUCUAUAAUUAUACAAUGGCCCAAAACGUAUAAAACUUUACAAAAAAGUAUAAUUUCAGAAUUUUUAAAUAAUACUAGUUAUUCCCAAAGCUUUCUAAAAUUGUGAUAUGGCCCAAUACAUGAUAAUUUUUUAAAAAUAGUCAUUUUCAAAAUUUAACAAAAUACUUAUAAAUUUCAAAGUUUUCAAAACGUUUUCAAUUUAGUCCAAAAUUUGAAAAUGUGAAGUUUUCCACAUGCGGCUAGCCGCUAGCCCUUAGGAGGUUAGCCGCUAACUCUCUAUCCACUUACGAUAUUUGCACUCAGGCCCUCAAACUUUUAUAAAUUAUAGUAUGGCCUAAAAUAUUUCAAAAGUUUGCAAAUAAGUCGAAUUUCGAAAUUCAAAACAAUACUUAUUAAAAUCAAAUAUUGCAAAACUUUUUCAUUUUAGUUCACAUCUUGAAGAAUAACUAACUUCAUAAAAUUCUUAGCUUAUACUUGUAAAACUUUUGAUUUAUGAAAAAAUAAUGAUUUAUUAAACAAAAUCUUGAACUUCUCAAAUGCUAAACCAUUUAUAUAUUAAAUCAUCCCGGUUUUACAAAAAUUGUCGCAAUAGUGAGUCUGUUGAGCUCUAAACUUUAUUCUUGAUUGCGCCGUUGUCCGUUAAGUGUCUUGAACUUGAUUUCACGCGAUUCACUUCAUCAUAAAUAUUUUCCUUCAAGAACUAGUGAAAUGUGAAUACAAUAUUUUUCAAAUCAUUUAAGACAUAUGUUUGUUAUCAUCAAAAUUAUAUGAUGUAUAGCCCUUUAGGCUAAUUGAGCUUUACGUGUCAUUUGACAAAUAUGCCAACCCAUUUACAACUGUUUCUCAUUAUUUCAGUCACCAAGAUCUUUAAAUAUGAGCUCGUUUUUCAAACACUCACAACUUUUUGAAAGAUUAUUCCAAUGGUAACAUCUUCGAGUAAACAAUAUAAAAACAUUUGGGAGCUUUCUGGGUUUCACUAUGGAAAGUACAAGGAGUUCGUUCAGACAGUUGUAGAUCUUGGUCAUGUUAUAGCAGAGAGGAACCUACACUUUGCAUAUGGAGGAGGUGAACGAGGGUUAUCAAGGCUUGUCUCAGAAGUUGUUUUUACUAGUGAAAGCUAAGUACUAGGCGUUAUUCCAAAAGCCAUUAAACCUCUAGGAUGCCUGUCUGGCCCACCAAUUAGAGUAGAAUUAGUGGUAUCAAGUAUGGAAGAGAAAAUAUCUAAAAUGUUAAAUCAUGCUGAUAUUUUUAUUCUCUUACUAGGAGAUCUUGCAACUCUUGAGGCACUGAUUACAUUUGCAUCUUGGGCACAUUUGAACAUUCAUAAAAAACCCAUCGACUUGUUAAAUAUUAAUAAUUUUAUGAUGGCUUGCUAACUUUUAUUAACCAUGCAAUUAGGAAUCAUUUUGUUCCACACUCUGUAUAAAACUAUUGAUUUGUGCUUCUUCUGCGAAUGAGUUACUUGAUCUUUUACUAGCUUAUACACCAGAGCCAGAUCCCAAGACUUACGCGCUGGAUUGGUCGACUCAUAAUGGUAGCAGUAGCAGUAGUAAGAAGUGCAAAUUAGAUUUAACUCUACGUUUGUAAAUAUUUUCUGUUGCAGUGUUCAUGUGAUGUCUUUUAAACUUUUCCUCUUUCCUUUUAAAACAUUGAGGACAAUGCCUCGUUCAGGUUGAGGAGAGGGAUUAAUUGAUAAUUGUGGAAUGUCUUAGUCCUGGUGAUGUUUUUACAAGGUUUUACUGUAAAGACUAACUUUGGACUAAAUUUGAGUUGAAGAUGGAUGGAUAUGGAGAUUGCAGUACCUCUAGAAACGCAUCUUCUUAAUCUUAGAGUUUUAUUAAAAAAGAUGUAACAUUUGCUUGUUUUUUGUCAUCUUCUUUUAAGCUUCUGUAUUGAGUUCAGGUGAGAUCUCCCCUUCUUCUUCUGUUGUUAUAUAUAUAUAUGUGUAUAUAUAUAUAUAUAUAUAUUGUAUGCAUAUAUGUAAAACUCUAAAAUGUUGAGAUAAUGUUUAGAUUAGGUUGGGGUGGGGGAUAAUUGACGUGUGUUUUUAAAUAUGUGUGUUUGUUUUUCCCUUUUUCUUUAAAAAAAAAACCAAUUUUUUUUGUCUAGGAUGGUUGUGUAAAGAGUUACGACUUUUGAGACGCAUCCUAAUAGUUAUGUUGUGUUAUAUUUUGAUUUUGAAAUUCAUAGUAAGUUGUUUUUUUUUUCAUUUUCUUUGAAUUACUCAAAUUUUUGAACUCUCCAAUUGGUUACUAAGUCAUUUAAUUGUUUAUCAUUUAACAAGUAUUGUUGAAUCAUUCUUCACACACACACUAUGACAUAUACUAGUGGGUUGUAAGUUCAAAUUUUUAUAGCAUUUAGUUCUUUUGAUUUAUUAGGAAUAAUAUCUAAGGUAGUAGAAAAUGUAUAUUGCCAAAAAUAAUUUUGAAUGUGUUUAAUUUUGCUAUAUCUAAAACGCGAGUAAUUAAGUUCGUAGGGUGUUUCAACAUCUAGUGCCCUAAGACCAACUGGUCUGGGAGUCACUGGCCUAAAGCUCGCUAUAUGAGUUAUAGAUAUAUUGUUUGCUUAUUUAUUAGAAACUCGAGUAAUUAAGUCCGUAAGGGUGUUUCAACACCUAUUGCCCUAAGGCCAACUGGUUUAGGAGUCACUGGCCUAAAGCUCGCUACAUAGGUUAAAAAUUUAAUGUUUUAAAAUUUAUGUGAAUAAUCUACUGCCUAAAGAUAGAAUUUCUAAUGAAUUUUGGAACGAAAAUGUUGUUUUUCUUUUAAUGAAACGCCAUAAAUAUUGUGUUAAUUACUUGAUUAUAAAAAAAAGUUCGAUGAUAUUCUGGAUAAUGUGCACAAAAGAAGGUUUGUUGCUCUGCAAGCAUUUUAGUUUUCUUUGUCCCAGUUGUUCUUCUGUUGGUUUUUGCGCUGUUGAUUUAGAAAAUUUUAAAAGACUUUUUGUCCUCUCAUUUAGAUGUAAUUUUCUUUUUCUUUUUCUAAUCUUUAUAAUCAAUAAAGCGACCCCUCGUUCUGCUGAGGUUUGCCAAGAAGAAAGAAAGUGACAACCGGGCUGGAGCUCCGGUGUAUGUUUUAGUGAACUUGUUUGAUCCCGGUAGUACAAGAUAAAAUCGAUGAAAUUAAAAUGAAUAUACUCACAUAGUUAUCGGAAGACAAAUUACUUAAGAGUGUAGCUAAGUUACAUUAUAUGUUAACUACACAAAAUAUGUACUUAAUGUAAUUCAAAACAUGUUAACAAUUUAACAAUAAUUAAAUUUUUGGGAGCCACUCUUGGGUUGAUGUAAGUUAUAUAUAAUGUAACUUAACUUGACUCUUUAUAAGUACUAUGUCAUUACCUAAUUAUAGUGCUAUACACUCCUUAUUUAAUGCUUUCUUGAAAAAAUUGCAGAAACAAUAUAAAGAAGAUAAAUUUCAAUAUAUUAUUAAUUUAUGAGCACAAAGACUUAAUUUAUAUAAGUAUUUGAAAGAUGAAAAAAGAAAUAAUACAACUAACAUAAUUUGAAAAUAAUAUUGAUUAACAAAGAUUUAGUCAAUCAAAUUUUAUGUUGAUUUGUAAUCAAUCUUUUUUAAUCAGUAAUUAAGAUGGAGACAAUCAAUUAUUUAAUUGAAUUUUUUUUUGUUUUCAUCAAUAUUGUUUGAUUCUUAUCAUCCCCAACUUGCCUUAAAAAAUUGCAAAUCGUUGAUUUUUAUUUCUAGUCUCAUCCAAUUGUCACGUAACAAAUUAGGAAGCAUUCCUUUGAAGCUUGUCUAGAAAAUUUUUAAAUUGUUUUCAUGUAUUUUUUUUUAAGAUCGUGAAAAAUCACAAGUAAUUCAAUUUCAUUGAUCAAGGAAUUCUUUUAACAUGAAAACCAAAACUUUGAUCGUUUUAAAGAAAAUCUUCACUCAAGAAUUUUAUCUUCAUUCUUUUGAUUUUGUCAUAGAAUUCUUUCAUUUAGAAAGCCAUUCCAUUGAUCUUGUCAAGGAAACUAUCGAUUUUGAGUUUUUUUUUUCAUUCCCUUUUUCUUUUGACGUCAUAUCCUUUAUGAUGGUGUUAAGGUUAGUUAAUGGUGGGUCAAACAGCUUUUUUUUUUCCUGAAGAAAUUGAAGAACAAUUAAAAGGCAACUCACAUCUCACACUUUUAGACCACCAUGCUCUCGAAACCUGUCAUUUACAUGGUGGCUAAGCCUAAACUCACCAAUUUAGGGACUCUCAAACCAUGCUAUGAUACUAUGAAAACUUUUUAGCAACAAUAUAAAGAAGGUAAGUUUCACUCUUAUUGAUUCACGGGCACAAAAAUUAAAUCUAUACAAGUAUUUGAAACAUGAAAAAGAAAUGAUAUAAUUAACAUAAUUUUGAAAUAAUGAUUGAUUAAAAUAAUUUAGUUAAUGAGUUUUGAGUAGUGCUACACAUCUCAAAUUAUUUAUCUCCAAAAAACUAUUCCAAAUGAUAUUGCAUUCAUUAAUUGAUCAAUGAGGAUAAUACAAUUUAUUCACUUAGAUAAUGUAAAGAGAUGCCAACCAAUCAAUGAAUGUUAUAUCAUUUUGGACGGAAUUUGGAAUAAAAAAUUUAGGAUGUCUAUCAUUACUCAUUAGUAUUUAUGUUGAUUUACUAUUAAUCUUUCUUAAUUAGUAAUUAAGAUUGAAAUAAUCGAUCAUGUAAUUGACUGCUUUGUUGCCAUCAAUAUUAUUUAAUUCUUAUUUUAUUUUUUACUUAAUAAAAUCUCUUUUCUUAAAGAUUAGUUGUUAUAAGAUGAUAAUCGAACAAAAUUGGUCAAGAUAUAUGAUUUCCCUAUAAUAUUUUAUGUAUUUUUACAUCAUUAAUAGUGAGUUUAUUAUAAAUCAUAGAUUUAAAUCUUUUAAUUUUAAUCAUUCAUUCAAUAUAAUGGAUAAAUAAUUAAUUAACUAAAAGAUAUCAUGUAAUUUAUAGGUUGCUAGUAAAUUUCUUAUCCUUCCAGCUACAAUUAAUUUUUAAUGAAAUUAAAGCAUUUCUUUAUGAAUGGAUGAGACAGUAUCAAACAAUUUCUUGAGCUCUAGAUCCAGCGCCUAGUACAAUUGAUGAAACAAUAAAUCAAUAUCAAUCGUAUAGCUUAAAUCAAUACCAAAAUGCAAUGGAAUAAGCAAUACUUGAGAACAACUUAAUUUUAAAUAAAAGAGCUUAAAAUAUUUUAUUUUGUUAUAUCUCUUUUUAUUUUUUAAAUUUAAAAUCACUUGUUUAACCGAUUUGUUAAUCGGUUAUAUCAUUUUAGAAAUAAUUAAUUUUUUAUUAAAAAAUAAUUUAAACUGUUAAUUAGAUUGCACGGUACAUAUUUUUUUAUAUUGUUAAUACUAUAAAAAAAUUACAACAUCAUGAAUAGAUCCAUCAACUUACUAAUGAGAUAGCCACUUUGGCCGAGUGGUGGACCAUACUCUUAAAGUUAACCAUGAUUAUGAGGACAGUGGUUCGAGUCUCUAUGGACUCACCCACCUUCAAUUAAGUAUAAUUGUGUGGAGUUAAUUUGUAAGUUUUUCUCCCUAGCGAAAUGCAAGUGGAGUGCAUUUCGCAGAGAUAUCCCUCAUUUAUGAGGAUUAUUUAUCUGGACAUGUAUUUUAUAUAAUUUAAUGUAAUAAUGUAAGUUCUAAUUAUAUAUUUGAUUGUAAAUAUUAAUGUAAUGAUUUGUUGUAAUAAUAAUUAUAAAUAUUUGUGUAAUAUAAUAAUUUGAUUUGUAAUCAAUAUUUAAAAAACAAAACUUAAUAAUAAGAUGCCGUAACGCGUUACAAAACCGCGCCUUGUGUCGAAUAAGUGACGAAAAUGUGAUCUAACCACAAGAGGGCACAAGACGAAGGGAAACCACCACACAUUUUAGUUGAGAAAAUUUAAUGUAGUCUAGAAGUUUCACUCACGUUAGCGGCACAAACAAUCAUUAUAGUACUUCGCUCUAUGUAUAAUUGACUGGUAAAAAAAACAAAAAAAAAGCAAACGAGUGGUUAUUAAAUGGGAAAUUUACAAAAAUAAUCAUAAAACUUUUGCUAUUUCCACAAUUAACCCUAUAAACUUUUUUUUAUCAACAUUAGCCAAACACACGCUUUUCUCCCCAAAUUACCUUUGUUUACAAACCAAAAGCAACUUUCUUUCUCCCCUUUUAUCAAACCAAACGCAUCUUUGCACUCUUGAAUCAUCACCGGCGACAGCAAAAGGCAACGAUAAACGCCGACGGCGAACGGUAAAAGUGAAAUUCGAUCAUAAUCCAUCCGGAUCCAACACCAAUCGGCAUCACUGAGUGGUAUCAAUUAUUAUCUGAACUUGCGAGAGAGUUUCAGUGUGGUUUGUCACGGGCUGCGUAAAACUCUACGAUUGGAGGUUAACUCACGCAUGCGGGCUCGCUUAGUACUCAAGGUGGGUACACUUAGAAGUGGGGUUGACUUAGAAAUGGGCCGCCAACAUAACAAGCCAUCCGGGGUGCGCUUAGCAAACCACCCACCAAGGCCCAAGAUCUAGAACUCUCUACAUAUUACUCAUUCACUAGAACAUUCUAGGACUCACCACUUGGGUCCCUAAAUAUUUUGCCACUUGUAGUAGAGUUCUCUAGAAUUAAGCACUCCACCCCCUAUAAAUAGGAGUGAGCACCCAUCAUGUUCAUAACCACCAACACACCCACACAACACACCUAGCACACUAGCACACAAGCUCUCUUGUACAAACACCCUUGUAAUCUUUCUAAGUGUAUAUAAUACAAUCACAUUCGGCCAUCUUACUCUUGCUUCCCAUAACAUUUUCUCCAAGUGUGUGUGUUUGACUUGUUUGGGGAGUAAUCAAGGCUUACUUGGCGACUCACGCGCUAAGGUCGCUCAAGCGCCGCACAUGACUUUUCUGCGCAAAAUUAUCAUCCCGCGACAAGUGGUAUCAGAGCUACGGUUUGCACCCACACGCAAACUAGUUCAUAGACGAUGGCCAAUCCUUCCAGCACAUUGCUAGAGGGCACACUCGGUGCGGAGGUACCGGAGCAAGCUCGUGGCCGUGAGGAGGGAGGACGCGGACAACCAAAGUCCCGAGGUAAGUCCAAAGCCCCUUCUAUGGAUGCAUUGGAACCUCGUGUUGCCACGCUCGAAACUUUAAUGGCUGCUGUCCAAGACACCAUUGAUACAUUAGAGGAGCGAGUCGAUGGCCUUGAGGGUGAGUAUGGCGAAUUCACAGCAGCCACCAAAGCCCUCAUGCAAGACCAAACCGACUCCCUUCGAGGGGAGUUCUGAGCGUUCCAUGACGAGCUGCUCAAUUUGCGUAGCUUUGUGCAAAAUGAGUUGCGUGCAGUCCGUGCGGAGGUCGAUGAGGUCCGCUCGGAUUGGGCUUGGCACAAGCGCACACUCAUGCCUAGUCCAGCUACGGUUCCCGCAAGCUCGAGUGAUGCGCACCGCAUUGACGUGCCCAAGCCCGAUACUUAUGAUGGUGCGCGCAACGCUAUUGUGGUGGAUAACUUCCUCUUUGAGCUAGAGCAAUAUUUUGAUGCCAUGGGUGUUCGUGACAAGGCAUCAAAGGUAGGCACUGCCCCUACAUUCCUCUGAGGUGUCGUGCAACUAUGGUGGCGGCAGAAACAUGGUGAGAUGGGCAAGGGCAUUUGCGCCAUCAACACAUGGGCCGAAUUUCAGCAAGAACUCCGCAAGCAUUUUGCCCCAAGCAAUGCGGAGAAGGAAGCACGAGCGCGGUUACGUCGGCUCAAGCAAAUGGGUAGCGUCCGCGAUUACAUCAACGACUUCACCACCCUUAUGCUUGAGAUUUCCAACAUGUCCGAUAAGGACUCUCUCGUCUACUUCCAAGACGGCCUUAAAGAUUGGGCCAAGACGGAGCUUGAUAGGCGUGGCGUACAAACUCUCGACGACGCCAUUGCCAUUGCGGAAUCACUCUCCGAUUACUCUGCCCAGCCCAAAGACAAGAGGCCUAGCCACGGCAAAGGUGGGGGAGAGGGCCGGAAGGACAAGAGCCGCAACCGCAAGGAAUGGGGAUAGAAAACGCCUCCAAGCAGCAAGAGCGGACAAAGCAAGACAGAAAAACAGCAGCCGCCUAAGCCUCGAAGCCCAUGUUUCAUUUGCAACGGCCCUCAUUGGGUGCGUGAUUAUCUGGAGAAAAAGUCGCUUAGCGCCCUCGCCGCUCAGCUCAAGGGCGACUCUCCAUCGACACCGGAAGAACCCCAACCUAGAGUGGGUUCCCUCAAACGCCUUGGCGCACUCGAAAGCCGUCCGCCCACAGCCACGAGGAAAGGGCUCAUGUAUGUGAGUGCCACAGUCAAUGACCAAGCUGUUCGGGCAUUGCUCGACACUGGAGCCACACACAACUUCAUCUCGGAAGAAGAGGCUAAGCGCCUAGGCCUAAAGGUGAUGAAGGACGGAGGCACAAUGAAGGCGGUAAACUCACCCGCCAAGCCCAUUGCGGGCACCGCACAAGGAGUGCGCGUUACUCUUGAGACGUGGAGCAGAAAGCUCGACUUCUCGAUCGUGCCCAUGGACGACUUCAAGAUGGUCCUCGGCAUGGAGUUCUUCGACCGAGUCCAUGCGUUCCCACUGCCGGCCACGAACUCCCUAAGCAUCCUCGACGGGAGUAUGGCGUGCAUGGUCCCAGCCGAGCGCUCGAAGACCACGAACAAGGCGCUCUCCGCCAUGCAUUUCAAGAAGGCUUUUCGGAAGGACCCUAGCUUCUUGGUCUUCAUCCGGGAGGUGAAUAAUGAAGAAGAUCGAGAAGACUUGCCAAGCCAAGCCCCUCCGUUCAUCCAAGCCGUCCUCCACGAGUUCAAGGACGUUAUGCCUCCGAAGCUCCCGAAAAAGCUCCCACCAAGUCGAGAGGUGGAACAUGAGAUUGAGCUAGAGCAAGACGCGAAGCCGCCAGCCUUAGCGCCUUACCGCAUGGUGCCACCUGAGCUAGAAGAGUUGUGGAGGCAACUCAAGGACUUGCUUGAUGCGGGCUACAUCUGCCCAUCCAAGGCUCCGUUCGGUGCACCCGUACUCUUUUAAAAGAAGAAGGAUGGAUCUCUACGCAUGUGCAUCGACUAUCGGGUGCUCAACAAGAUUACAAUCAAGAACAAGUAUCCGAUUCCCUUGAUCGCGGACUUGUUCGAUCAACUCGGCAGCCCACGGUACUUCACCAAGCUCGACCUACGGUCCGGGUACUACCAAGUAUGCAUCGCCAAGGUUGAUGAACCAAAGACGGCGUGCGUGACCAGGUAUGGCUCCUUCGAAUUUCUUGUUAUGCCGUUUGGUCUUACCAAUGCACCGGCAACAUUUUGCACUCUCAUGAACAAAGUCCUCUAAUCGUUUCUCGACUGCUUUGUUGUGGUGCACUUGGACGACAUUGUGGUAUACAACACCACACUUGAGGAACAUGCCCAACAUUUACGGCAAGUUCUCCAAGUACUACGCAACAAUGAACUCUACCUCAAAGUGGAGAAGUGCUCGUUUUCCCAAUGAGAGGUGGAGUUUCUUGGCCACAAGAUAGCGGACGGGAAACUCAUGAUGGAGGACUCGAAAGUAAAGGCUAUACUUGAAUGACAACCUCCCACCAAUGUACUCGAACUCCGAUCUUUCCUCGGAUUGGUGAACUAUUACCGCCGCUUUAUCAAAGGGUAUUCGGCUACAGCAGUACCCUUGACCGAGCUAUUGAAGAAGUACCGCACGUGGCAUUGGUCCAAGGAAUGCCAACGAGCUUUCGGGGAGUUAAAGAAGGCUAUCUCCAAACAGCCCGUCCUCGCACUUCCGGACCAUACAAAGCCAUUCGAAGUUCAAACGGAUGCAUCCGACUUUGUCAUAGGCGGAGUACUCAUGCAAGAAGGCCACCCUAUAGCAUUCGAGAGCCGGAAGCUUAACGACACAGAACGCCGCUACACCAUGCAAGAGAAGGAGAUGACAGCCAUUGUCCAUUGUCUACGUGUGUGGCGACACUACUUACUUGGCUCACACUUCGUGAUCUUGACGGACAACGUAGCCACGAGCUACUUCCAAACACAAAAGAAGUUGAGCCCCAAGCAAGCUAGGUGGCAAGACUUUCUUGCGGAUUUGAUUAUAGGCUCGAGUGCAAGCCCGGAAAAGCCAACGUUGUUGCGGAUGCUCUAAGCCACAAAGCGGAGUUGGCUACACUUAGCAUGAGCCAGCCGAAGUCUGAUCUCGUCACACGCAACAAGGAAGACCUCCAACAGGAUCCGUUAGCGAAAAACUUGUUGGGAAAGGUGCUUGAAGGAAAGACGAGACGAUUUUGGCAAGAAGAAUGCAUCCUCCUCACCAAGGGAGAUUGAUUAUUUGUGCCAAGGUGGGGAAAUUUACGGCGAGAGGUGAUCAAGGAGUGCCAUGACUCGAAAUGGGCUGGCCACCCCGGAGUAGAGCGCACGACUGCACUCGUCCAAGCCUCCUACUUUUGGCCACACAUGAGAGAUGACAUUGAGGCCUACGUGCGGACAUGUCUCGUGUGCCAACUAGACAAGGCGGAUCGCCAACUUCCAGCGGGACUGUUGGAGCCCUUACCAACAGCAUCAAGACCAUGGGAGAGUGUCACCAUGGACUUUAUCUCGGCUUUACCCAAGUCCGAGGGGUGCGGAAGCAUUAUGGUGGUAGUCGACCGUUAUAGCAAAUAUGCGACUUUCAUCGCUGCACCAACCGAUUGCAAAGCGGAUGAGGCUGCCCACUUAUUCGUCAAGCACAUCAUCAAGCUUUGGGGAGUUUCGAAGAGCAUCGUGAGUGACCAGGAUCCACACUUCACUGGACGCUUUUGGAUGGAGCUCUUCAAGAUGUUGGGAACCGACCUCAAGUUCUCAACAAGCUUUCAUCCGCAAAUGGAUGGACAGACCGAGCGUAUCAACAGCCUACUCGAGAUGUAUAUUAGACAUUAUGUAGUGCUCACCAGCGAGAUUGGGCUAAGUUGCUGGACGUUGCCCAAUUCUUAUACAACCUACAACGGAGCGAGGCUACGGGCAAGAGUCCAUUCGAGAUCAUCAUGGGAUUUCAGUUGAGGACGCCCAACGCCAUAGCUUCGACCUAUGAAGGAAAGAGCCCAGCAGCACACAAACUCGCUCGCGAAUGGCAUGAAGAAGCGGACAUCACGCAACCAUAUCUUGACAAGGCCGCACGGAGAAUGAAAAAGUGGGCUGACUCAAGGAGAUGCCAUGUCGAGUACAAGGAAGGCGACCAAGUGAUGGUGAAGCUCUUACCCCAACAGUUCAAGACGUUGCGGAAAGUCCACAAAGGGCUAGUGAGGCGAUACGAAGGGCCUUUCGAAGUGUGGGCAAAGUCUCCUACCAACUCCAACUUCCACCAAGACUCAAAAUCCACCCAGUCUUCCACGCGAGCUUGCUCAAACCAUACCACGGAGAUGCGGGAGAUCCAAGCCGAGGCAAGUCAAGACGUGCCCCGACUGCCGUUGUCACCGCAUCUGACAAGGAUGUGGAGUACAUCCUUGCGGAUCGAGUAAUCCGAAGACGGGGCAUACCGGCUUACAACGAGUACUUGAUGAAAUGGAAGAACCUCCCCGAGAGCGAAACAACAUGGGAGAGCGAAAAUGACCUUUGGCAAUUCGCGGCAAUUUGCGGAACAUGUACAGCUCUACAAGCACAACAACACGACGAGGACGCCACGGACUUAGGUGGGGGAGGAUUGUCACGGGCCGUAAAAAACUCUACGAUUGGAGGUUAACUCGCGCAUACAGGCUCGCUUAGUACUCAAGGUGGGUACACUUAGAAGUGGGGUUGACUUAGAAAUGGGCCGCCAACAUAACAAGCCAUCCAGGGUUCGCUUAGCAAACCACCCACCAAGGCCCAAGAUCUAGAACUCUCUACAUAUUACUCAUUCACUAGAACAUUCUAGGACUCACCACUUGGGUCCCUAAAUAUUUUGCCACUUGUAGUAUAGUUCUCUAGAAUUAAGCACUCCACCCCCUAUAAAUAGGAGUGAGCACCCAUCAUGUGCAUAACCACCAACACACCCACACAAUACACCUAGCACACUAGCACACAAGCUCUCUUGUACAAACACCCUUGUAAUCUUUCUAAGUGUGUAUAAUACAAUCACAUUCAGCCAUUUUACUCUUGCUUCCCAUAACAUUUUCUCUAAGUGUGUGUGCUUGACUUGUUUGGGGAGUAAUCAAGGAUUACUUGGCGACUCACGCGCUAAGGUCGCUCAAGUGCCGCAUGGGACUUUGCUGCGCAAAAUUAUCAUCCCGUGAUAGGUUGCUUGCUGUGAGUCGUGGGACAAUCUGCCUCAAGCUUCGUGCGACAGGUGCCUGUCGCACGAAGCUUGGUGCGUCAGGCAUGAAGCUAUUAAAUGAUCAGAUUGAAACUUGGACCAUUAUCUUAAUAUUGUACCUGCUAAACCAGGCUGGUGUCUUUCAAACUUGUAAGUUGGAGGGAAUCUUAUGAUUGCUUCUCGCAUGCCUUGGAAAACUUUGCCUGCUUUCAUCUCUGCCCGGAGCUGAUCUUUUUCUCUCAGCUAAUCGAAGCAUCUUUGGGAAACAAAGUCUCUUGCUUCAUCGUAAGAUAUUCCAAAAAGUCUAUAGUUCAAAUCACCAAAAAAAUAUAGCCAUAUCUACUUCAGCUAAAUCAGGCUUUGUUUCUUCAGUAUUCAGAGUAGUAGUAGUCUGAGGAAGCACCAGAAUAGCAGUAAACCAUAGCGUCAUAGAGAGGACUAGAAUAUGAAAGGCUGGAGACUAAGAUGUUAUGAGUAAAAUAAAUCAGAACAAGGACGUACAUUUGAAGUCUUCAUUAUGUUGACGGCAGUUGAGACACCAGCUGCAGCAAAAAGCACCAAUGGGAAGCCAAAAAGUAAAAAUAAAUAUGUGCAGAAGGCAAGAGAGCAAUACAAAAACAGGUAUGGCACCAUACCAAAUGCAGAAUUAAGUGUACUUGUCGAUCUACUGAAGACCAUAUUUCUAUAUAUGUGAUCAUAAUCAACAUUCCUACGGUUGACAGCUUCCAAGUGUGCUGCUAGGUGAUAGUUCAUAAAGCAAAUAGUCUUGUCGUAGACUCUGAUUCUCAAACCUACCCCUCCCUGUGUGGCCAGAAGUAGUGGUGUCAACAUAUCUUUCGUUUAUGAUAGAAGGGAUUACGAUUAUAUCACCUAAGCUUCAAUAGUGCAUUAUGCAGACAAGUGUUCUUUUUCUUCGGCAUGUAAAUCACGGUUCAAGACUUACUUGCAUAUAAUCAUUUGGAUCACAUAGGCAAAACAAAAAGCUGACAGCAUAAAAUAAAUUUUGGUUUCAAUGUGUCGCACGAAGCUAUGUGCGACAUGCGCCUGUCGCACGAAACUUGAGGCAUAUUGUCCAACGACUCACAACAAGCAACCGCACUGAAACUCUCUCGCAAGUUUAGAAAAUAACUGAUAUCACUCAGUGAUGCCGAUUGGUGUUGGAUUCGGAUGGAUUAUGAUCGGAUUUCACUUUUACCGUUCGUCGUCGGCGUUUACCGUUGCCUUUUGCCGUCGCCGGUGAUGAUUCAAGAGUUCAAAGCUGCGUUUGGUUUGAUAAAAGGGGAGAAAGAAAGUUGGUUUUGGUUUGUAAACAAGGGUAAUUUGGAGAGAAAAGCGUGUCUUUGGCUAAUGUUGAUAGAAAAAGUUUAGAAGGUUAAUUGUGAAAAUAGCAAAAGUUUUAUGGUUAUUUUUGUAAAUUUCCCUUAUUAAAUGCACAUGUCAAUUUCUUUGCGUGCAUAAUGUGUAACCUAUGCUAGAGAGAACUUUUUUUUUUUAAGGGUGGGCCAGUUGAACGUAUGAAUUUAUUUUCUACUGAUUUUUUUAAUUAAAAUUUUUAUUAUAUAAAUAUUUUUUAAAAAUUAUUUAAUUAACUGUCUCUUAUCUUUCUCAUUUCAAUUUCAUAAAUUCUUAUCAAUUUAUUUAAAUGUAUUCUUUUACCUAUAAAUAAUUGAUAUCACUAACAAAAGGUGAAAAUAAAUAGAAAGAAUAAAAUAAAUAUCACUCAUCAUUUAAAAAUAAAUAUCAACAAAUUUUUAUCAACCAUAAAAGUUUGUCAAUAUAGAAAUUAAUUUUUACCAAGCACAAAAACCUAUGAAAAUCAAGAAAAAGAAUUCUCAUAUAUAGAAAAAAUGAAAUAGAAAUCGUGAUAUACUAAGAAAGAACAAAAAAUAAAUUUAAAAGAAAGUAAAAUUAAGUGUUUAGUUUGUAAAAUAUGAGAGUAGAGAGAGAGAAUAUGCAAUUGUAAGUAGGACUGCACAUUAUCUAGUUUGGUUUGAUUCAGCCUAGGAACCAAACUGAACUGAAACCAAUCAGUUCUUUAAAACUGGAACUAAAUAUGAACCGAACUGAACUGAAGUUUUCGGUUCGGUUCGAUUGAGUACGGUUUUGAAAUCUGGUUCAUUUCGGUUUGAUUCUAGUUUUGAUUAGCUUGGACCAGGAUCAUGAAGCCCUUUUGUUAGUGAUUGUUCCUCAUUGAUUUCAGAUCGAAGCUUGUAUUAAGCUCUAAUAAUUAGGCAUCAAAGUGAAUAAAACUAAAAGAAAUAAGCAAUCUUGAUUCAUUCAACCAUUUAUUAUUUUGUUUAUAAAGCACCCAACAAAUUAAACUACAUCUAUGAAUCCCAACUCACAAAAUUAAGGAAAAAGGUGUGAAAUAAAUUAUUGAGCAUGACAGUUGCUACAAGCAUACUUAAAAUCAAUUCAAUUGAAAACAAUAGCCUCUCCACGAACUUCAUGAAAUCUAUGUGGAUGUUUCAGAUAAUUUGUAAUUGUGAACCUCGCGUUUCCAUUUGCUUCCAAGUCUUUCCAUCAAAAUCAAUUUAAUUUAAGGAAUAAUCAAUGAACAUAUAAAAAAAGUCAACACAAGUUGCACAACUCCACCAGCGCGAUAGCUUCGGUAAGCUGCCAAUGGCACGAGUGUGACGAACAUGAGGCAAGGCUGACAUGAGCGCAACGAGAUGAACUACGACAGGCUGGCUGUGGUGACGGCGACAAGUUGACACCAGCACAACAGUAACAACGACAAGCUGAUACAAGCGCGACAGCAAUGACAACAGACUGGCUGAUAAGUGACGGUGGUGGAUGUGUGUGUGUGUUGGCGAAAGUGAGAGAGAUGGUGAGGGUUUUUGUGUGUGAAAAAGAUGAAGUGAGUGCAGAUGUGUUAGUGUGUGUGAGUUGUGAGAGAGGUGGUGUGUGUGCGUGAGAGAGAUUUUAGCGUUUAGAAUUAUUUUACUUAUUUAUAUUUUUUAUUUUAAUAUUUAUUUAGUUUUAAGUGAAAGAACCGAUUUGUUCGACGGUUCAGUUCGGUUUUGAGCUUAAUCGAAUGCAAACCAAUUUAGUUCGCAAAUUUUCAAAUUAUUUGGCUUUUGUCCUUAGAACCGAACUAAAUUGAAAUUUUUUAGUUCAGUUCGGUUCGACAAAAAUCGAACCGUCUACCCAUCCCUAAUUGUGAGGUGUAGAGAGAAAGAUAUUGGUGAAGGAAAUUUUAAAUUUUUAAUAAUGAAUUUAUUUUUUAAAAUGGGUGUAGAGAGAAAUUUAUUAUGACUUUAUUUUUUUAUAUAAAAGAGUGGGGCUAUUUUUUAAAAAUGAAUUUAUUAUAUAUUCUUAUUAGACCUUGAUAUAUAAAAAUUUUACUAUAAAAUAAACACGAGAAAAAGUUUGCAAUGAAUACAGAAUAUCAAUAUUAAAAAUAAGCUUUAAAAACCAAACCUUAAUACUAAAACAAGUUUGAAUAGGCCUCCAAAAUAUAAAAUAUCCGUCCAACUAAUUUUUAGGUAAUGUAGAUUCCAAAAUACCGGAGUCUAACAAAUGGAUAAGAAAUCAAUUACGGGAAAGUGAGGAUCUAAAUAAUAAUAAGAAAAAAAUGGCAUUUUCUAAUAAAUAAACAACAAAUUCACAAAACCACUCAACUAAAAUGGCCAGAGCUUCAAGUCCUCAGAAAGUAUUGUAAGAGUUUAGUUCCUUCUUUAGUUAUGAAAAAUAAUUAAGUGAAAACAGUCUUCUCUCUUUCAAAAUAUUCGAGGGUAAAAUCUAGUAAUUGUCUGAUUGUAAAUAUUAGACAAUUAGAAAGGCUAAAAUAUGGGCAGUGUUAUAUAAGAUUUAUGGUGCGUUUACUAAACCGAAAUUAGAAUGGGCUAGAAUAAGAAAAGGUUGGAAUCAGAAUGAACUAAAAUGGGAAUGAUAAAUGGGAAUUAAAAUAACUUGUUACUUAAGCUAUAGGAAUCGAAAUCGGAAUGAGCUCCAUUCCCAUUAAUGUGUUUAAUUUAUCCUAGAAUCAGAGUGGACUAUUUUAAAUUGCUAAAAUAUCCUUUGUUAAUUGUUAUCCCUAAUAUUAUUGGUAUCUAUUAUAAUAUUAACAAUAAUAAGAAUAAAAAUAAUAUUAAAACUGAAAAUAAUAAUAAUAUAGACAAUAAUGAUAGAUUAACAUAAUAAUUAAAAUAAUAAAAUAAAUAAAUUUUUAUAAUAAUGAUAAUAGUGACAACAAAAUGAAGGAUAAUAAUAAUACUAAUAAAAUUAAUAGAUUAUGAAAAUGAUGAUAAUGAUGAUGAUGAUGAUGAUUAUUAUUAUUAAUAUUAAUAUUAUUAAAUAAUAAGGGACCUAUGUGUAAAUAUUACAACAUUCACAGGUGUAAUUAUAUAAAAUUUGUAUAGAUCAAAAUGAACAGAUGGCAAACUUUUCCCUGUAAGUUACCAUCCGAUUCCACAUUAGUAAUAAGCAAAUAAAUUGAAAUUAAAAUAAUAAUAAAUUGGCGGUGACGAAUUCCUCUCCAUCAAAGGCUGGUUUCAUCUCGGUUCGUGGAUGUGCUCGUGUUGACCAUUUUAGUUUUCACCGCUCGUCUUCACUGCCGAUUUCAAGCUCCUCGUCACUAGGGAUGGCAAUGGAUUGGAUCUAACCCAAGAUCCACGUGAUCUAAAUUCAAUCGGAUUGGAUUUGAGUUGAUUUAAAAUAAAUUUGUAUCGAAUUUGAAUAUUGAUGUCUGGAUUUAAGACGGAUUUGAAGUAGGUCUGGAUCUUUCUUAAUAUCUAAAUCCAUAUCCAUAUCCACUCAUCUUUUAAUUUAAUUUAUUUUAAAAGUUUCUUAACAAUUGUGGAAUUAUAAUGAUAAUAAAUUUUAUUCAUAGCAUAUUAGUGAUAUUUACCAUGCAUUUAAACUCUUAAAACUUAAAGGUUAGUUUUGUAAAUUUAAAGGUCAGCCAGCUCUAAAGAAUGUACAUGCAAUAUUCAAAUUGCAAGCCGAGUAAUACAACUUGACAAUUUAUUUUAUUAUAUUGGUCAAAUAGUUUUUAAGGAAUAUAGUUAUUAAUAUAUUUCAUAAUAAAAAUAAUAAACGACUGAGUAUAAAUCAUAUUUAAUUUAUAUGUCAUUAUCUAAUAUUAUAGGAAUGAGGGUGGAUGUAUCGUGGAUAUUAGAAUGAUGAAGGAGACAAUAAAAUAUUAGAUUGAUUUUACUCCUGCAAUUACUUUUAAAAGAUAUUUUAUUAUCUUUCUUAUUUGUUGUUUUGGUGUAAAAGUAUAAGUUACAAUAUUUAUUAUAUUUUUUAGAAAAAUUAUAUAAUUUAUUUGUUAUCAAUACAUUUUAACCUUCAAUUUUUAAUCUAAAAAACUAUUACUUUUUAAUUGCUGAGUUUUAGAAUUCAUGACGGAUCUAUAGCAUAUUUGAAUUUUAAUUUUUUUUCACAUUUGGAGCAGAUAUAGAUAUUUAUUUCUUUUUUGGAUCUAGAUAUGGAACGAAANNNNNNNNNNNNNNNNNNNNNNNNNNNNNNNNNNNNNNNNNNNNNNNNNNNNNNNNNNNNNNNNNNNNNNNNNNNNNNNNNNNNNNNNNNNNNNNNNNNNGAAAUCAGUAACGACUUCUUUAUAGCCAACAAACUGGAUAUGACGAUGAUGAUGAUGAUGGUUGAUUUUGGCAGCAACAGUGACAAGACACGGUGAUGGCAUUCGGCUUGGUGGAGCUAUGAUGAGAGGAGUAUCGUGGCUUAGGGAUUUGGCCUUUUAUUUUUUAUUUUUUUUUAUUUUUUUUGGUAUUCAUAUUUUUUUCAUUUAAAAAGGGAUAACUUGGAAAUAUUGAAAUGUUAAUAGGGUAAGAACAUGAAAUCUUAGGAGGGGGAGAUUCAUUCCCAACCCCUUGGAAGCCAAUUUCUCAUUCCCUAUUUCCAAAUUCAGGUAGGCCCCAUGAUUUUGAUUAUGAUUCUUAUCUUCGUUUUACGAAAUAAACACUGUCAAUAAUUGCAAUUCCGAAUUCCGAAUCCCUAAUCGAAGAAUUAAACACACUAUUAAUGUAAAUGGAGCAGAGAUCUCUCGAAUAAACUAGUUUCAGUAAUUGCUCAGCAGCCUUCUCCCUUUUGAAAUUUGAGGGUAAAAUCUGAUAAUUGUCUUAUUGUAAAUAUGAUACUAUUAGAGAGAAUGUAAUCUAGACAGUACUGUAAGAUUUAAUAUAAAUGGAGUAGACAUGCCUCAAAUAAUCUAGAUCUAGUAAUUAUUUAAUGUAAAUAGAGUAGAUAUCCCUAAUAAUUGUUUUACGUAUAUGGUGUAGAUAUCUCUUCAAUAAACCAAUCACAAUAUUUGUGUAAUUAUAGAUAUCAAUAUUUAUCGUAAAUUAGUUCUAAUAAUUAUCUAUUUAUAAAUAUUAAUAAUAGUCGAUGUUAGUUUCAAUAAUUAUCUAUUUAUAAAUAUUAAUAAUAGUCGAUGUAAUCUUAACACUAGUCUCGUAAUAGAUUUGAUGUUGCUGAUGGUCAUAAUAAAUGUUCAGAAAAAAAAUGACAUAUUAUAGGAAAUAAAAGACAAACGCAUUGGCUUCUUGCUUUGCCAGUCAACCUGCAACUAUGAAUGAGAACCAUAGCUUUUGGCUGUUUGGUUCAAUGAACUUGUUUAUGUUCCUAAACACGUAAUAAAUCCAUUUGAAAGAGUAUAUUAAUUGACAAUACACAUACCAAACUAUACUCCUAUUUAAUGCUUUCCUCUGCACAGUGGAAUAUGUGAUUUUGAUGUAGUACUAAACCACGUGAAAAUGUGGAAAAUUAUGUAUGGUACAAAGACAAGUCAAUAGCAUAAAUAAUCGUUUAUUCUCUAAGUUUUUAUUUAAAUUUUUUUUAAUUCUUAUAUUUUAAAAAUUAUCUCAAGAAAUUCUUAUUUUAAAUAUGAUAUAUUUUUAUCCUUAUUUUUUUGACAACUUUUCUAAAAAUAUCCUUGCAAUAAUCUUUAUAAAAAGAAAAAAAAUGUUAAUUUAUUAUAUUAACCAUAUAAGUAAAUAAAAAUUAAUGUAGAAAUUUCUAUUAUUAUUUUACUUUUAAGGUUAAUUUGGUUUUCGUAAAUAGAAAUUAUUGUAAAAAUUAUUGCAUGAAGAUUAUUGUAAAAGUAAAGAAAAAGUAAUGGCAAGAGUGUAACAUAUUUAAUAGUAGGAAGUUUACCCAUUUCAAAUUACAUGUGCAUUUUAUUUUUAAAAAAUUAGUAGACAAACAGAUAAAAACAUUGUUGAUUAGCAGGAGCUUUUGUAGUAAUUAAAUAUGUCAUGUUAUUACUAAUGGGUUGUAUUAUUUCCAAUUUUUUGAAGCACGGCAAAAGAUUUUCAUUUUCAUGCAAUGAAUAACAAAGAGUCAAAUUUCUCUGCGUUCAUACGUGGCCAUAAAACACCACGAGAAAAACGUUAUUCAUAAGCAGUAUUCAUCAACUUCUCUACUUAUAAAUUGCCUUCAAAUUACACGACAGAAGCCCAAUAUAAUUCACUCUAACACUUGUUUCAGCAUGUCUUCUCUUGAUCACUCUAUUCCUGUGCCAGCAAUCAGUAGAGCAUUUGAAGUAGUGGAGAGCAGUAGUAAUAAUAAAACCGCAACUCAUAGUAUUAAUGUUAAUGAAGAUGAUGGAGAUGGUGUUUUCUUAACUUGGCAAGAUCUGUGGGUUACGGUUCCCGAUGGUCAGAAAAAAGGCAACAGAUCAAUCCUUCAAGGUCUUACUGGCUACGCAAGACCUGGGGAGCUUUUGGCUAUUAUGGGUCCUUCUGGUUGUGGAAAAUCUACUCUUCUUGAUGCUUUAGCUGGUAUUUAAAUUUUUUAUAACCACUAUUUUUUUUUUUUGCCAAGUAAUUGUGUUUGAUUUCUAAAGGAAUGAAAAAUAGCUAAGCUAUCAAAAAAAAAAAAAAUUAGUAUUUUUUUGCCAAGUAAUUGUGUUUUUCUAGUUUAUGCAUAAUUUUAACAUGAAAUGCAAAAAAUUAAAAAUUAAUUAUAAAAUAGAGUAACACUUAUCAAACAUCAAACAACUCAACUUCUUUCUUGCAUAUGUAUAUGAAUUUGAAACUCCAAGCUUCUUAUUUCUUUUGAAAAAAUUCUAUCACCUAAAUAGUAGUCACUCAUUAAUUAAAUACAAAUUACAUUCAUCUUAUUUACAUAUAUAUCUCUGUGUGUGUACAAAUAAUUUUUAACUCAUGUUUAAACACUUUAUUAUGUUUUAAUAUAGGAUUUAAAUCUAAUGUUGAGCUGAGUUAUGCUCAACUUUAUAUAAUUUACUAUUACAAAUACAUGUUUAAAGACAUAUAAGAUUAAGAUUUAAAUUAAUUUUAUACUAUUAUCUAACAAUUAUUAAUUAUAUUUUUUAAAAAAAUUAAUAAAAAGCUCAACUUAAUACUGAAUCUAAAUGCUUUAAUUGAAGGCUUGCAAUUUUGUCAAAAUUUACAUUAAAAUUGUGUAAAUUGAACAUACCCGAGAUAUAAACGAAUCAAACCUCCCGGGCCCCCGAGUUUUCAACCUUUUUUUUCGCUACUUAUGAUGGUGGGCCCCACUCUGUCGAUCUUUUUAUUUCUUACCCCACUUUAUCAAUUGUGGACCCUCCAUAUUGGCCUUUUUCUGAUUUAUUUUUAUUUGUUAUGGUUUGGUCAACGUUGAAGAAUUUAAGAAAAAUAAAAUAAAUUGCACAAUCGAAAGGUCGAUGCUGUGAUUACAAAGCAGCUUUCGUUAUGUCAUAACUAUUUUACAGUUUUCUCUGGGAAUUCUUGUUACAGUUUUAUUAAUUCGUUUUAUCACAACACCAAAUUUUCCGUUAAAUUAAUUAAGUUGUUCGUUAGAUUAACAACGGAUUUCAUAUAAAUUAAAUAUAACAAAUAAAUUUUAAUACUUGCAACAAAAAUUUGAUAGAUCCUGACACAAGUUAUUCUAGUUAGAUUUUUUAAAGUUACAUUUCUUAUAACUUAUAAUUAAGUUUCUUAGUAUAAAAAUGAGUAAUAAAAUAGUGAGGCCAAGUAAACCAGUGGGUGAAUUUUACUUAAAAUGUAACUUACUGAGAUUGAUUCUAGUGUGAGGACAACUUCAAAUAAAUUUAGUGAGGACAUCUUGAAAUAAAUUUAAUAGACAUAUAUCUUUUUACCCCCAGCUGGUGCCUGACAAAGGUUUUCUUUCUAGCAAUUUUAUUUAUGAUUGCAAAAUUAAUUUGUAUUUUACUCGUCCCUCUAUUUUUUCUAAAAAAUUUAUUUUAAAAAAAAUUAACAGACAUGCAUGUAUUUCGCAGGAAGACUAGGAUCGAACACAAGGCAAGCAGGAGAAAUUCUAAUUAAUGGGCGAAAACGGGCACUGGCUUAUGGAACCUCGGUACAAAUGUUACCAUUAGCAUAAUUAUUUAACUACUUUUUAAAUUUUUGUUUAGCAUUCAAUUUUCGGAUUCAUAUCCAGAUUUUUUUUAAAAAAAUAUAUAUUAAGAAUUGGUCAUAGUAGUAGUAUUCUGAUAAUGUGAAUGUCUGGAUUUUACAAAAUUCGAAUUUGAAUUAAAUCAGAGUUAUAGGUUAUUGUAUAAUUUUGAUUCUAAUUUAAAUCUGAAUUUUAUAAAACUCGGACGACCGUACGACUUAGUAAUACAAUUUCCUCUAUUUAAUUCAAUAUUCUAAUUUAUUCUGAAUUCGCAAAUUAAUGAUGAACUCAGGCAUAUGUGACACAAGAUGACGCUUUGAUCACUACACUGACGGUUAGUGAAGCAGUGUACUACUCAGCUCAGCUGCAAUUGCCGGACACGAUGACCAAAUUACAGAAGAAAGAAAGAGCAGAAAUGACAAUAAAAGAAAUGGGGCUACAAGAUGCCAUGAAUACAAGAAUUGGAGGCUGGGGAGCUAAAGGCCUUAGUGGUGGUCAAAAGAGGAGAGUUAGCAUUUGCAUUGAAAUGUUGACUCGACCAAAGCUUCUAUUUCUUGACGAGCCAACAAGCGGACUUGAUAGUGCUGCUUCAUACUAUGUAAUGAGCAGGAUUGCUAAGCUUGAUCAAAGAGAUCAUGGAGUGGGAUCAAGAACAAUGAUAGCAUCAAUCCAUCAACCUAGCAGCGAAGUUUUUCAGCUUUUUCACAACCUUUGCCUUCUUUCUUCCGGUCAAACUGUCUAUUUUGGUCCAGCUUCUGCGGCAAAUGAGGCAAGUUCAUUUCCCCACAAUGUUCAGAACCCAUCAAAACCUCGGUGCUGCCAAAAAGAAAAAAAAAAAUAAAUAACUUUCACCUUUUUAAACUUAAACUACUAUACCUAUAGAAAUUUGGAUUGAUCCACAGGGAGUUAACUAUUUUAAGGCUAAAAUAGUAAAAUGAAAAGUGUAAUUUUUUUAACUAACAUAAGGUUUUGAUAGUUUUUGAAACAUGAUUAGAGAACUGAUUGGCUUAAUUACUAACAUCAUUUUCCCAAAUAAAACUUUAACUAACGUGCUUGUUUGCUUUCAAUUACAUGCAGUUUUUUGCUUUGAAUGGCUUCCCUUGCCCAGCCCUCCAGAAUCCAUCUGAUCACUUUCUUAAAACUAUAAACAAAGAUUUCCAGAAGGUAAGCUUUUUUUCUUUAUUGUAUACUUGCUUGCAUGCUUGCUUGCGCGCUUUUAGGUGAAGUGACUUAUCCAAUUCAACACAAACC